GAGAGAGGAAGUCGGAGAGCAAAUUUAAACCCAUCGUGUGAGACGCUACUUCGGUUUGUCAGUACUACGAGAAAAAACUGAGUCGCUACCUCUGUUUGUCAGUACUAUGAGAAUAAAAAGGAAUUACCGAAUAAAAGUUCAUUAACGAAGAAGCCUGGAUACUAAAACAAGCUUUCUGUUUCUUUGUCGAACGCGAGUGAGGCUGGACGCCGAACACACCCGCGGCGUGAAGGUCUACUUGUUCAGCUGCUGCAGCUUGGACAGAGACACCAACAUCACCUUCCAGACCAACAGGUGUCACCACUUUGUCCACCGAGAUGUCAUCCAUGAUCAGAGAGACGUCUUCAUAUAAUGAGGAAGUUCUUUGAGACCAGGACAGAGGCCUCCAGGAUUCAACCAUUAAAUCACAGAGAGAAGAGACCGACGUGAAGACAUUUCCAGAAGGUCUUCAGCUGCUGUCAUCUUCUCCUCCUGCAGAGACAAGAACACUGUUAAUCACUUUUUUAUGCCUUAUUGUACUAUGACAUGUAGCUUAUGACAAAGGAACUAUCUUAAAGCGGUGAUCUUACAGUUGCACACGCACCUCUACAUGGUGUUUGUGGUUAGGUUAGAUUUUGAAACUUUAUAACUACUCCCCCUUCUGCAGGAAGGAUAUCUCAUAUCAACACUACCGUUAUUGUGUGCAAUAUAACUAAUAUUAAUAUAUAUUUCAUUCAUUAUCAUGUGCAAUUUACAUCUCAAUUUUACUAACAAUGUUUUGUAUGUUAAAUCUGUUGUUUAUACAUUGUAUAAAUAUUUCUACAUAUACUUUAUUCUGUCUUGUUCUUUACUGUUUUGUAGUAAUGUCUGGUAAAAGAAUUUACUUCAAGAUUAAUACAGUUCUGUCUUACAUUGUGUUCAUUAUUUCAUUUUGGUAUUCUGCUAUUUCAAACAGUGCAAUCAGCAUAUAAUUUUUACAUAUUGUUAUACAUUGUUUUAUAUCUUGUCUUGUUUACAUUAUUCAUUUAUCUAUUUUUGCUGCUGCAACACUGACUUAUUUUACCCUUACAAAUAAAUACUU